rnacentral:sRNA from 1 species
GCUGGGUGUGGUGGCUCAUGCCUGUAAUCCCAGCACUUUGGGAGGCCGAGGCGGGUGGAUCACCUGAGGUCAGGAGUUCAAGACCAGCCUGACCAACAUGGAGAAACCCCGUCUCUA